AACGUAGGACGCAAGCGUUAUCCGGAGUUACUGGGCGUAAAGGGCGGGUAGGCGGCCUGGUAAGUGGGGUGUGAAAUCUCCCGGCUCAACCGGGAGGGAGCACUCGAGACUGCCGGACUGGAGAGCAGCAGAGGAGCGUGGAAUUCCGGGUGGAGUAGUGAAAUGCGUAGAGAUCCGGAGGAACACCAGAGGCGAAGGCGGCGCUCUGGGCUGACACUGACGCUGAAGCGCGAAAGCUAGGGGAGCGAACGGG
rnacentral:rRNA from 1 species